CAUUACAUGAUAUCACGGGGGGCCGGAACCACGAAAGUGCGACCUGCCCUGUCUGAAUAUUAUACCCAUGAUUUUGCGUACCAUUUGUUUCCUUGGUGAGCUUGCUCACCAAUAGGACACUAUACAACCUUUUGUAAUUGCAGUCAGCGUCAGAAAACUAUAAUAAUUACAACUUUCAACAACGGAUCUCUUGGUUCUGGCAUCGAUGAAGAACGCAGCGAAAUGCGAUAAGUAGUGUGAAUUGCAGAAUUCAGUGAAUCAUCGAAUCUUUGAACGCACAUUGCGCCCCUUGGUAUUCCAUGGGGCAUGCCUGUUCGAGCGUCAUUUGUACCCUCAAGCUCUGCUUGGUGUUGGGUGUUUGUCCCGCUUUGCGUGGGGACUCGCCUUAAAGCAAUUGGCAGCCGGCAUAUUGUCUCGGAGCGCAGCACAUUUUGCGCUUCUUGCAUUCAUGUUGGUAUCCAGUAAGCCUUUACAUUUGCUCUUGACCUCGGAUCAGGUAGGGAUACCC
rnacentral:rRNA from 1 species